GGAAGCGUGGCCGAGUGGUUGAAGGCACUGGUCUUGAAAACCAGCAACGGGCAACCGUUCGUGGGUUCGAAUCCCACCGCUUCCGCCA
rnacentral:tRNA from 3 species